CUGGCAAGUGGCAGAAGUGGGCAGGUCAUCCUGACUGCCCUCCACCCCGCUCCCUCCUCCCACCCAGGGCCAGUGUGAAGGUCACACGUCUCUCUUUUGAGUCAUCCCUGUGUUUAGUCUGCUCAAGUCCAAACUCACUGGGAACAUCGGCUCUGUGAGCUGGAGCCAGAUCCGCUUCUUGACAGAAAAGGCAAAGGGACCCCUUUAGCAAUCUAUGAGAAACGGUUAAAUCCCCACGGAGGCGCGAUGGCCGUCAACAGCGGCGUGGUGAGAAGGGCACUUUACUUCCACGGUUUUCCUCCCCCAAACCCACAACCCCUGUCUAGUGGUGAGAAAAACAGCAGACAAAUCCCAAUAGAGGGACAUCGUGCAAAACACAUGUCUGGUAUAACUCAGAACACUCCGGUCGCCAAAAACAAGGAAAAUCUGAGACACUGUCACACCCAAGAGGAGCCUGAGAAGACACGGUGACUAACACAGUGUGGGAUCCUGGAUGGGAAGCUGGAACAGAAAAGGACAUUAGGAACUACUUUUCAGAAUCUGAUUUUUUUAUGGAGAAGAAAACCCCAGAAAGCUGAAUAAAAGUGAUAAAGACUCUUCUGGAAUUUCAUCUUUUUAAAAUCACUUAUCUCUAUUUUGGAAACAGCAUCAUCA